UACGUAGGGGGCAAGCGUUGUCCGGAUUUAUUGGGCGUAAAGAGCUCGUAGGCGGUUCGACAAGUCGGAUGUGAAAUCUCCACGCUCAACGUGGAGGGGCCAUUCGAAACUGUCGUGACUUGAGUCCGGUAGGGGAGUGUGGAAUUCCCGGUGUAGCGGUGAAAUGCGUAGAGAUCGGAAAGAACACCAACGGCGAAAGCACUCUGCUGGGCCGACACUGACACUGAGAGACGAAAGCUAGGGGAGCGAAUGGG
rnacentral:rRNA from 1 species